UACGAAGGGGGCUAGCGUUGUUCGGAAUUACUGGGCGUAAAGGGCGCGUAGGCGGCUUGGCAAGUUGGAUGUGAAAGCCCAGGGCUCAACCCUGGAAUUGCAUUCAAGACUGCCUUGCUUGAAUUCGGUAGAGGUUGGUGGAAUUCCCAGUGUAGAGGUGAAAUUCGUAGAGAUUGGGAAGAACACCCGUGGCGAAGGCGGCCAACUGGACCGACAUUGACGCUGAGGCGCGAAAGCGUGGGGAGCAAACAGG
rnacentral:rRNA from 1 species